AGCGAACGCUGGCGGCAGGCCUAACACAUGCAAGUCGAACGGAUCCUUCGGGAUUAGUGGCGGACGGGUGCGUAACACGUGGGAACGUGCCCUUUGGUUCGGAACAACUCAGGGAAACUUGAGCUAAUACCGGAUGUGCCCUUCGGGGGAAAGAUUUAUCGCCAUUGGAGCGGCCCGCGUCUGAUUAGCUAGUUGGUGAGGUAACGGCCCACCAAGGCGACGAUCAGUAGCUGGUCUGAGAGGAUGAUCAGCCACACUGGGACUGAGACACGGCCCAGACUCCUACGGGAGGCAGCAGUGGGGAAUCUUGCGAAAUGGGCGAAAGCCUGACGCAGCCAUGCCGCGUGAAUGAUGAAGGUCUUAGGAUUGUAAAAUUCUUUCAGCGGGGACGAUAAUGACGGUACCCGCAGAAGAAGCUCCGGCUAACUUCGUG
rnacentral:rRNA from 1 species